UUAAAAGUUCUUUGCUUUUAAAAAGCAAAAAAAUUAAAAAAAAAAAAAAAAGUUCUUUGCAACCCAACAUUCAGAACUACAGCCCCAGAGAACCCGACGCCUUCUCCUGGCCGCCACAGACACAGCACCCACGUGGAACCCACACAGACACAGAUUCACAAACAAGUGGCAGCCUCGGACAUGGAGCCCUUGAGUCUUGCCCUGUCCUGAGCCCGUAAAGGGCGCGCACAUCCUAAUUUGGUGUCGGCUGUUGGCCCGACGGGGUCCCGAUCGAGCGUCACUGUGGGACUAAGACCCGGAAAGAGCGCGCACAGCUGGUCGUAGGCCGCACGCCCAGCGCGUAGAGGUCAAGAGGGGUCACGCACGGUGCCGCGGAGCUUACUGGGAACGUUGUGCAAAAUGGCGACGCCCAGUUUACGCGGCCGCCUUGCGCGGUUUGCGAACCCGGGGAAACCUAUCCUGAAACCCAACAAGCCUCUUAUCUUAGCUAAUCGCGUUGGGAACCGACGCCGAGAGAAGGGCGGUGAGCACUUGGAGUGGGAGAGGCCGGGUAAUAUCGGGGGAGAGGUGUUAGGUCGGCCUGUGACUGAAGGUCCCCCAGUUCUUCCCCUCCAGAGGCAACUUGUAUCACGGAGAUGUCAAUGAUGAUGGCUUGCUGGAAGCAGAAUGAAUUCCGCGACGAGGCGUGCAGGAAAGAGAUCCAGGACUUCUUCGAUUGUUCUUCCAAGGCUCAGGAAGCUGGGAAGAUGAGAUCAAUCCAGGAGACUCUGGGACAGUCUGGAAGUUUACCUCCCCACAAAAUGACUAAGUUGUUACAGAGAUUUCCCAAUAAAUCUCAUCUGAGCUGAAAAUGGAGAAACAUUUUCAACGAACUCUCAUUUCUGAAAGCUACACAGAGGCGUAUUAGGGAUGUUUGCAUGCAUUGCCAUGCGUUUUUGAAGGGUAAAAUGAGGCAAAACACUCAAUUUUGCUCUUCUGAAUGAAUCGUGUUCUGGAUACGUGUCUUGAAAUAAAACCCUCUAAAAAG
rnacentral:lncRNA from 1 species